UCCCAUCUUAGCUCAGCUGGUAGAGCAUGUGACUCUUAAUCUCAGGGUCACGGGUUCAAGCCCCAUGUUGGGCA